AUCAUAAGCGGAGGAAAGAACUAACAAGGAUUCCCCUAGUAGCGGCGAGCGAAGCGGGAAGAGCUCAAAUUUAUAAUCUGGCACCUUCGGUGUCCGAGUUGUAAUCUCUAGAAGUGUUUUCCGCGUUGGACCGCACACAAGUCUGUUGGAAUACAGCGGCAUAGUGGUGAAACCCCCGUAUAUGGUGCGGACGCCCAGCGCUUUGUGAUACACUUUCAAUGAGUCGAGUUGUUUGGGAAUGCAGCUCAAAUUGGGUGGUAAAUUCCAUCUAAAGCUAAAUAUUGGCGAGAGACCGAUAGCGAACAAGUACCGUGAGGGAAAGAUGAAAAGCACUUUGGAAAGAGAGUUAACAGUACGUGAAAUUGUUGGAAGGGAAACGCUUGAAGUCAGACUUGCUUGCCGGAGCUUGCUUCGGUUUGCAGGCCAGCAUCAGUUUUCCGGGGUGGAUAAUGACGGUUUGAAGGUAGCAGUCUCGGCUGUGUUAUAGCUUUCCGUUGGAUACAUCCUGGGGGACUGAGGAACGCAGCGUGCUUUUUGCGAAAGACUCGUCUUUUUCACGCUUAGGAUGCUGGUGGAAUGGCUUUAAACGACCCGUCUUAA
rnacentral:rRNA from 1 species